rnacentral:rRNA from 1 species
GAUGAACGCUGGCGGCAUGCCUAACACAUGCAAGUCGAGCGAACAGACGAGGAGCUUGCUCCUCUGACGUUGGCGGCGGACGGAAUAGUAACAUCUGGACAACCUACUUAUAGGACACGGAUAACAACGGGAAAUAGGAGCUAAUACCGGAUAAUAUAUUGAGCCGCAUUGUUCACUCGUGAAAUUCGGUUUUGCUGUCUCUAAUAGACGACUCCGCGCCGCAUUAGGUAGUUGGUAAGGUAACGGCUUACCAACGCGACGAGGCGGAGCCGACCUGAGAGGGUGAACGGACACACUGGAACUGAGACACGGUCCAGACUCCUACGGGAGGAAGCAGUAGGGAAUCUUCCGCAAUGGGCGAAAGCCUGAUGGAGCAACGCCGCGGGAGUGAUGAAGGACUUCGGAUCGUAAAACUCUGUUGGUAGGAAAGAUCAAAUGCGUAAUUAACUAUGAAGGUCAUGACGGUACCGAAAGAAGAAGCCCCGGCUAACUACGUG